rnacentral:rRNA from 1 species
GACGAACGCUGGCGGCGUGCUUAACACAUGCAAGUCGAACGCUGAAGCUCAGCUUUUGUUGGGUGGAUGAGUGGCGAACGGGUGAGUAACACGUGAGUAACCUGCCCCCUUCUUUAGGGUAACGCCCGGAAACGGGUGCUAAUACUGGAUAUUCACUGGUCUUCGCAUGGGGGUUGGUGGAAAGGGUUUUUCUGGUGGGGGAUGGGCUCGCGGCCUAUCAGCUUGUUGGUGGGGUGAUGGCCUACCAAGGCUUUGACGGGUAGCCGGGCUGAGAGGGUGACCGGUCACAUUGGGACUGAGAUACGGCCCAGAGUCCUACGGGAGGCAGCAGUGGGGAAUAUUGCACAAUGGGCGCAAGCCUGAUGCAGCGACGCCGCGUGAGGGAUGGAGGCCGUCGGGUUGUGAACCUCUUUCGCUCAUGGUCAAGCCGCAACAAUGGUUGUGGUGAGGGUAGUGGGUAAAGAAGCGCCGGCUAACUACGUG